CCUACGGGAGGCAGCAGCAAGGAAUUUUGCGCAAUGGGCGAAAGCCUGACGCAGCAACGCCGCGUGAGGGAAGAAGGCCUUCGGGUUGUAAACCUCUUUUGUCAGGGAAGAAAAAUGACGGUACCUGAUGAAUAAGUCACGGCUAACUACGUGCCAGCAGCCGCGGUAAU
rnacentral:rRNA from 1 species